rnacentral:snRNA from 1 species
AUGUGAGAGGGAGAUCUGGUUGCAAUAUCUCACCCCACUGAUCACCAGUGUUAAUUCAGCUGAUUUGGCUGGCUUGGUGGGUGUCCCCUUCCUCCUUCAACCUCCAUGUGCAAGCUGCACAUGCCUUCGAAGAGGACGACCAUACUAGAUAGAGGAGGACUGAUUUUCUCUUAAAUAUAGGAGAAGCUGUGCUCCCUUACUAGAACCUCCAAACAAACUCUCUAGGAAGAACAAACUUUGACAUAAAUCACAGCAAGAUCUUUUUCAACCUACCUCCUAAAAUAAUUA